GUCUGUUAGUUCCUUCUCAUUCCCGUGUCAGUUUUCAGUUUUUAUCUUCAACCUCCUUCACAAUAUUCUCAUACAUAUUCUGAGCCCUUUCAACCCAAAACCCUUCCUCCACUCUUAUUUCUAAUAACAUCCGAAAGGUAAAAAAAAAAUCUUCCCUCAGAACACCCGAGUGAUCAUGUUUCAGAUAGAGCAUCAUCUUCGGCGUGCUUUUCUCGGAUCCCACCCACCACCACGACACCAAUUACUACCGCGAUUCCUUUGAAUCUUCAGCACUUGAACCCGCCUCGCCUCGGAGAUGGGAUGUGAAUGGAGUUUCGUCCAUCACCAAUUCUGGAACUCCCCCAAGUGCUACUCUGUACCGACAGGCUGAGAUAGCAAUUAUACUUGUUUAUGGUACUUCCCUGUCAUCAACCUUAUGAAACCCAUAAUUAGUAAAAAUCAUGAACUUGGGAUGAUGGGCACAAUGCUUGAACAAGUUUGUGAUUUUGGCAACUCAAGUUUGUGAGUGGUAUAUUCUCUUAGUAGUAAUUCCUGCUUUUUUUUUUUUUUUGAUAAGUUCUCUUAGUGAGAAUUCUAAUGAAGAAGAAAAAUAUUCUCUUGGUAAGAAUGCCCAUCAUAUAUGCCUAGAUUAUUAUCCAUCACUUCAAGCAGGCAACUAAUCACUUGAAGCAGCCAAGUUUUAUUAAUAAGUUGGCAUAAGACCCAUCAUUUCAUGAAUUUGACAGGCCAAAGAUGCAAAUGCUGCGGAUGGGUAAGAAAUAAAAUACUAGAUAAACAUUACUUUUUGCAUAGGACCCAUCAUUGUUUGUAUCUACUCGUUAAUAAUUAACAUGCUUGGAUGUUGAAAGCACCACUAAAGAUGUCACACACUAACAGAAAUCUUGAGAGAAAAUUUUUUUCCUGCCCAAAUUAUAACAAGGUAUGGCAACUGGUAUAUUUUUUUGGCUGUGCUUCUCAUUUUUUGUAUAACAUAGUAAAGCUACUUCCUCAUGUAAAAUGUUUGUACUGUGUGCAGAGAGAUGCGAGAUGUGAAUUUUUUGGAUUGGGCAGAUAUACUUAAUUUGAUAAAAGAGAACAUUCGAAGAAGAGAGAAUGCAGUUUAGAAGAGAGAGGAGGACUAUGGAGGAUAGAAAUGCACGAAUAUUAUUGUAUUUGUAUUAGAUUGUAUCAAUUGUAAUAGUUUUUGCCUGGUUCAGAUAAACUAUAGGGCACAUGUAAAUAGGUGGAUAUAUAUAUUUUUUUCUUGUAUGAAUAAAUUGUAAUGGCACUAUGGAGGCUAUGAAAAGUCUGUUGUUUUUUUGUCA